CGGUCAAAAUCGAAAGUCGCGCGCGAAAAAGAAGCGGGAGCGGAAGAGACUCCUUUCGAGAUCACGGUCUCUUCUGCGAGGAUCUCCGCCGGAUUGUGGAGCAGCUGGGGAAUCAGUUUUCUAUUUUCUUAUUCGAUUUUAAUUGCGAGAAUCGCCGAUACAAGCAAGUGCAUUAAAUGACCGAGUUUUUGCCGGGAGAGAUGCAUCAUCGAGAGGUGUCACGGACGCGAUUUAAUGCAGUCACGAUGUGUACACACAUCGAAAAUCGCUUAACUCUGUGCAACGAGCGCGACGUUUGGAGAACGAGACGAGACGACUGAAUGGAAGAACACGGCGUCUCUUCAAAAUGACAAAAGGGCUCCACAGAAGGGCAAGAAAGGCAGCAAGAGACACGGAGCCGACGGUCACAGGAUGGUCACUAGAUAAUUUCGUUUGGGACGGAAGUCUUCAAGUAAGCCGAAGGACAAUUCCAGCGGACCUUAAUCUUCGGGACCACAUUUCGUAUCGCAUACACAAGAAAAGAGAGAGAGACAGAGUGUGCAGAGAGAUGAAGAAGA